AGAGAAGAGAGAAUUGUGAGAGUGAAGUGACGAGAAGAAGAGAGAAAGAGGAGCUGCUGCCAUGGGCAGCAGCCCUGCUGCCAUAUGCAGCAGAGUGUGUGAACUGGGAGUUGAGUGAUCCUCCUCCAUGUAUUGUUUUGUAAACCUUUCUCUACCUCUAAUACAAUGACUCUCUCCCGUGGAUGUAGGCGGUUUUGCCGAAUCACGUUAAAUAUUGUGUCAGUGUGCUUACCCUCCGAUGAGCAACUAUCAGUACACCCCCGGUCCGCGCAUGGGGGUGACGGAAUUCCCCAACAAUUGGUAUCAGAGCACAUGGUUUAAAGGGGUGUUUGAUUUUUGCUCAAAAAUGAAAGUUGUCACAAUUGUGUUUUGACCAUACCACUGUGUAGAGAAGGAAGAGACGAAGCCACUGGUGAAAACGGCGUCAAAAUCGGACGUCGGACAUGACCGCACUCUCCAUCACUCUCCGGCAAGGCGUCUGCCCACGCGCGCAGACGCGCCCCACGCGUCUUCUUCACCCGGAUGGGUUGACCCGACCCGAAUACCAGUUGACCCGACCCAUGUGACUGACUCGGAUAUGGAUGACGUCAGCAUGACAUAAUUGUGAUGUCAGCAUGCACAGUAGGCAUGCCAGGGAUGACAUCAGCCUGAUGUAAGUGUGAUGUCAGCAUGCACAGUAGGCAUGCCAUGUCAUCAGACACAUCAUCGACCAGUCAGUAGACACGUCAGCACAGUGGGACCCACCUGCCACGUCACCAGCCACGAGUUGAGCCGAGCCGAGUUGAGCCGAGCCGAAUUGGAGCCGAGCCGAGACGCGAGCCGAGGGACAGGAUCCAGUGUAGCGGAUCCUAAGUGCAACCGGAUCUGAGAUUGAAUCUAAGCCGUUAAUCAGGCCAGAAUUGUUUUGAUCAAAUUGUAGCCGUCUGAAAUGCGAUUUGGACGAUUUCAGACUUGUUUCCAGCUAAUUUGAUCGUUCCGGAUGCAAUGGUACGGUCCGAUCAUUGAGAUUUGAGACCAAAAAUGGCGGUGGUUAAUUAUUAAAGAGAGAUUGCCCGAUCAGGAGGCAUCCGAUGGUCUUCAUGGUGGUCGAUGAAGAUGAAGAAGAAGGUGCACAUGUUUACCCAAUUACAUGUGCUGAACUGCUAAGUGGGGAGAAAUUUAACUGCCUUGAGGGAAGGCAAAAUUGGGACACUCUGGACACCCGAUCAAGUGGACAGUUAGAGGUGUAGAGUGAAAACUGAUGAAGACCAAUCUUGACGAAUCUAAGAACUGGUAGUCUCGUCAGAUGUUGAGAAAUCAUGUAUUAAACCAGUAUAUUCCAGAUCACUUGUAAAGGAAAACCGCAACAAAGCUAGCAAAUGGUUGUAUAUACGGAAAGACAGUACGAUGGAUAGAUAUGGCCUAAGAAGUUCUGUCUAGGAGAUUGGGUUUUAAGCGGGACCAGUGUGACCCCUCCAAUCUUUCCUGGGAACUUGCUUAGUGGAAGGAUUAUCCAUACGGUACUAUUUUCGUAUAUAUAGCAGUUUGUAAUGAAACAGUUGAAGACUAGCAGGAUGGCGGCACAAGGGAACAGUUGGGUUCCAAAGGUUCAAGGAUCUGAUGGAGUGGUGAUUUCUCCAAAGAAGUUAGAUUCGGUGACUGUGAUUUCUUGAGGGAGAAUUGAUGAAGACCCUGAUAAUGGAAGAGGAAUACAGCAAGAGGAUAAAGAUUGGCACCCUAUUUUGACUUGGACAGGUGUUGUGACAGGAUGAGCUGCUGUCAAACAUAAGCAAGGAAUAGGGAGAAAUUCUGGAGAACAGAAAAUGCACGAGGGCACACGGAGAUUGUGCAUGAGUACCCGUAAGAUUCAACGAGGUACUGUAAUGAGACAACAGGUGCAAGGAGAAGAAGUGUUCCCAGAUGAAGCUCAGAGCAGAGACUGUUAAAGUUUGUACAACAGGAAGUCUCUUGUGCUCUUAAUGAAGACAACAUGCGAAGACCUUUCCAAUGCAUGCAAGGAUGGAAAGAGAGCUGUUGCAGAGGCACCUAAUUGAGGGGGUGCAAAUGCCUAUGAUAAAAGGCGACCGCCUAUGAUGAAAGGCGAAGACACCAAAGAGAGUUGGUGUAGGUGGAGCUGUCAAGCAGAAAGGCACAGAAGCUCCAAACAUAGAAAUUGAGGUGGAGGAUUGCGAGGAGUAUACCACAACUUUCUCUUUCUAUGUAGUCAGUGGCAGCAAUCUCUCCCAUAGUGCACAUGGUGGUAGAGAAUUUUGGAGCCACUUUGAAGCAUCUCAGCUGAAGGAGGAUGCGACCGCCCCAUGACAACGGGCGAAGACACCUUAGAUGGAAGGUGUGUGAUGGCCAUGAUAGGAGCCCGGAUCAGACCGCCCUAUGACAACGGGCGAAGACACCUUAGAGAAGGUGUGAGGGCCUUGAUAUGAGCCCCAGAUCAGACUGUCCUAUGACAACGGGCGAAGACACCUAAGGAGAAGGUGUGUGGGCCACGAUAUGAGCCCAGUUCAGAACGCCCCAGAGCUAAAAUGAUGGCUGGAUAUAAGUGGACAGGUGUAUAGCCAAUGAAGUGGCUAUGAUGAGUAUGGAGACAGAUGCAGGAUUGACUUUCAUGGAUAUUGCCCCCAUGCUAAAGAUCAAUGAGCUAGAAGACAUUUGCCUUGGACAAUAAGUGUGUGACUUGUGGAGCAUUAAGACGCGGCUGCUAUGAAGGAGCAGAGGGCAUGCGCAGGUUCCCUGAACAAGUUGACUCUUGUCAAGGUGGUGAGCUCGGUAAUGGCAUUGUAAUACUCAGAGUAUGAAGAUAGAUAUGGAUCAACCUUUAUGGGCUGCCCCCAUGGUGAAAGGUGGAGAGCUACCUGGACUCUUACGACUAAGAGCGAGAGACUCACGGAGAAGUAAGGCGUGGUUCCUAGGGUGGAACAGAGGGCAUGCGCAACUCCUGGAUGAGUAGACUCUUGGAAGAGUGGUGAGCUUGUGAUCACAUUGAAAUACUCAAUGACUGUCGCACUUGGGAAUAUUCGUUUGAGGGGGUGUCAUAAGCCUUGGUGUAAGGCUUGAAAAAUCAUUCCGGACCGAGCAUGGUUGAUACGCUCGAAGGGGAAUGUUGUGUUGAAGACGCUCUCAGAAUGGAAGCUUGGAAGAGCUGCAAAAUGCAAGCUUGUGCUGAAGAAGCAAAAGGACAAUUGCCCACAUAAAUGGCAAAGGGGUGAUUGUUAGGAAAUUGCCAUUAUUGUGGCAAAUGCCCCACCCACCACUAUGCUUAGUGGAAUACUUAGUGGAAGCUUCAUUCAUGCCAUAAUUAGUGGCAGGAUUUCAGGACCCGUUGUCCCCUUGAUGUGCUGGAGAAGGCUACUAAGAAAUGCAUAUAAAGGAGGCUUAUAUUUGAGAGCAAGAGUGUGAGAGAAGAGAGAAUUGUGAGAGUGAAGUGACGAGAAGAAGAGAGAAAGAGGAGCUGCUGCCAUGGGCAGCAGCCCUGCUGCCAUAUGCAGCAGAGUGUGUGAACUGGGAGUUGAGUGAUCCUCCUCCAUGUAUUGUUUUGUAAACCUUUCUCUACCUCUAAUACAAUGACUCUCUCCCGUGGAUGUAGGCGGUUUUGCCGAA
rnacentral:lncRNA from 1 species